rnacentral:rRNA from 1 species
ACGAAGGAUCCAAGCGUUAUCCGGAUUUAUUGGGUUUAAAGGGUGCGUAGGUGGGCUAUUAAGUCAGUGGUGAAAGCUUCCCGCUUAACGGGAAAAUUGCCAUUGAUACUGAUGGUCUUGAGUGCAUUUGAAGUGGGCGGAAUGUGUCGUGUAGUGGUGAAAUACUUAGAUAUGACACAGAACACCGAUUGCGAAGGCAGCUCACUAAACUGUAACUGACACUGAGGCACGAAAGCGUGGGGAUCAAACAGGA